UACGUAGGGUGCAAGCGUUGUCCGGAAUUAUUGGCGUAAGAGCUUGUAGGCGUUGUCGCGUCUGCUGUGAAAUCGGCUCACCGACUUGCAGUGUACGCAGCUAGAGUCGUAGGAGACUGAUCUGUGUAGCGUGAAUGCGCAGAUAUCAGAGACACAGUGCGAGCGCGACUGUCGUCUGACGCUGAGCGCGAAGCGUGGAGCACAG
rnacentral:rRNA from 1 species